rnacentral:rRNA from 1 species
GUAGGGUGGCAAGCGUUGUCCGGAAUUAUUGGGCGUAAAGCGCGCGCAGGCGGUCCUUUAAGUCUGAUGUGAAAGCCCACGGCUCAACCGUGGAGGGUCAUUGGAAACUGGGGGACUUGAGUACAGAAGAGGAAAGCGGAAUUCCAAGUGUAGCGGUGAAAUGCGUAGAGAUUUGGAGGAACACCAGUGGCGAAGGCGGCUUUCUGGUCUGUAACUGACGCUGAGGGGCGAAAGCGUGGGGAGCAAACAGGAUUAGAUACCCUGGUAGUCCACGCCGUAAACGAUGAGUGCUAAGUGUUAGGGGGUUUCCGCCCCUUAGUGCUGCAGCUAACGCAUUAAGCACUCCGCCUGGGGAGUACGGCCGCAAGGCUG